rnacentral:lncRNA from 1 species
CAGCUAAGAAGACAUAUGGAGGAGUGGCGACAAUCCCUGACCAGACCGUAAAGAAUCUGUGGGCAAAACAGCCUGAGACAACGGUCUGGAAACUGGGGUCAGAACUGAAGGUGGCAUCAGUGGCUGGGGACCUGAGGUGGCCUGAGAUUUUUGUCUGUGGCAGAAAGAACUGGCAAGUCUCUCAGUGAUGACGUGUUUUGUGAGGGACAAGGGCAGAAGGAAGAGCCUGGAAUCCUGGAGCCCAGAAAACCCAGUUCCAGGAGGCAAGGAACUCCUGGGACGCAGUAGGAGCAUCUUUAGGAGGCAAGAAGCAGCCAGGCUCCUCAGGUCUCCGAGGAAGAAGGGGAGAGGCAUGGAGAGGACCCAGCAGGCCGGCUGGAGGCAGAGCUCCACAGCCACCUGCAGGAUGGGAGCUGGCUUGCAGGGCCUGGCUCUGCCAGAGCUUGGAGAGCAUCGGAGAAAGGACUCAGCCCAGACGCUGAUUGCCAGUUAAGUCUACCUCCCGCAAGGGCAGGUGUACUUGGCCAGGAGACCAUGCCUUCCCAGCUCCUAAGGAUGAAUAUUCCAUCCUUGAAUUACUUUUCCUUUCCUUUUUUUUUCUUUUUUUUAAAUAAGUAAGAUCCACCCUGUGUGUGGAGCCCAACACGGGUCUUGAAUUUCCAACCCUGACAUCAAGACCCGAGCUGAGAUCAAGAGUCGAACGCUUAACCCACUGAGCCACCCAGGCGCCCCUCCAAGGUUGACUUUCUGGUAUCAGCUGGAGGGGAGAACAUACCCUAUGUACAAUUCCUCCCGUCACUCCCAAUAGAAAGCUUUUCUGGGUUCUAUUUUUGCAGCUUUUGCCCUGCCCAGUUUUGGGGGACCACUCUAGAGUCCUUUAUAACCCCUGGUGUCACAGCAUGGGGUGGGGGGGUGGUCCUGGGCUGACCUAGGCUCUCAGCAGCCCUGGCCAGCAGGGGGGAGGGGAUGGAACUGAGCUGGUGGGCCCGGGAGUGGGAAGUCAGGAGAAGAGUAGGCCAGAGCCCACGUCCUGGGGGUCCUGGGGAAGGAUGAGGGUCAGCGGAGAGGAGCAGAAUAAAUCAAAACCCUGUUUUUACCGGUACA